rnacentral:rRNA from 1 species
CCUACGUGAGGCAGCAGUGGGGAAUAUUGCACAAUGGGGGGAACCCUGAUGCAGCGACGCCGCGUGAGUGAAGAAGUAUUUCGGUAUGUAAAGCUCUAUCAGCAGGGAAGACAAUGACGGUACCUGACUAAGAAUCCCCGGCUAACUACGUGCCAGCAGCCGAGGUAAUACGUAGGGGGCAAGCUUUAUCCGGAUUUACUGGGUGUUAAGGGAGCGCAGACGGCUGUGUAAGUCUGGAGUGAAAGGCGGGGGCCCAACCCCCGGACUGCUCUGGAAACUGUAAAGCUGGAGUGCAGGAGAGGUAAGCGGAAUUCGUAGUGUAGCGGUGAAAUGCGUAGAUAUUAGGAGGAACACCAGUGGCGAAGGCGGCUUACUGGACUGCAACUGACGUUGAGGCUCGAAAGCGUGGGGAGCAAACAGGAUUAGAUACCCCAGUAGUC